GGGGAUUUAGCUCAGUUGGUGGGGUGCUUGUCUUGCAGGCACAAGGCUCUGGGUUCAAUUCCUAAUCCCCA
rnacentral:tRNA from 1 species